CCUUGAUACUGCUUCAAGAAAGUUGAGCUUUUUAUGUGUAAAUGUAUACACAAUGAGAAAUUUCUUAGCCACUAUUAGUUUCUGUUUGUGUCUAUAGAAACAGAGACCAGCCACCUACCUAUACAUAGCUGAACUUAGCUCAGGCUCUGACUCUGAUAAUGCAAGUUGCUAUUGAUGAUUAGAAAAAGGCAAUUAGUGCUUACUUUAAUAUAGUGCAGUCAAAGUCAAAGUCAUUUACUUUAUUUGAGUUACUUGCUUUAAGUAAAUGUAGUUGGAUCAGUCUUGUGGUCUUCAAUUGCUUAAGUUGGUCCUACUAAAGAUUUUGAGUUUCUUUUUUCUCAGGAGCCUGGAGAGAUCGAAGAGGACUUUGCUCAAGUUGAUACAAAAAAGUUAAUAACCAGAUUUUUCACUUCGCGUAACCCACGUCCACCUUGCAUUCCAAAGUCAGUUGGUUUCAGAGGUUUACCUGAUCCACCUUCUUUGCCCGCUUGGCUCACCGAACAAGAUGUCAGGUUCUACGGAGACAAGUUUAGCCAAAAAGGCUUCACCGGUGGGCUAAACUACUAUCGCGCCC
rnacentral:lncRNA from 1 species